AUCCAAUUUGCAAGUCCUGGAAUGAUUCAGUUCCUUUUGUUACACUGCUAUCACAUAUGCUCAAGAUAUCAGGCCUGUGUUUGAGAAGUAGCUGGCAAGAAUUUUUCCCCCUGUGCAGAUGGUCUCUUCACUCUGUUGGUGGUUAAAGAGGCUACCUUUCCUCCAGUGAAGAGAUUUGGCCCCUUUGUCAAGGAUAACAUAGCUGAGUGUGCCUGGAGUUGUUUCUGUAUCUUCCAUUCUGUUCUGUUGAUCUUGCUGGGGAUCAAGCUCUGAAAAGAAGGCUUAAUAUGGACAGGACCCUCACAUAAAAUGAAAGAGAUAUCCAUCCCACCAAAUGAA
rnacentral:lncRNA from 1 species